UUUAGAUUACACUGACAAAGUUUGGUGUUGAUCUGAAUAAAUCUCUAGGAGGAGUUCGUUAAAGUACAACCCCUGAAAAUGGCAAAAACGACACAAAUUUUGCAGAGAAAAUUCAAAAUAACUGACUUCCUGUUUGGAUUCGAAUUUCGUACCAAGAGACUUUUUUGUAGGUAUUGGUGUGUUACAUGUGUGUACCGAUUUUUGUACAUGUACGUGAAACGUAGCUCGAGGCGCACUCCGUUGAAAAUGUAUAGGUGGCGCUAUCGAGGCAUUUUGCCACACCCGAUGGAAUAUUGGCCUUCAGAUUUGUUCAGGCCAGGACUCUUAUCGAACAUGUGAAGUUUGGGCAAGAUCGGAUGUUUUAUGCCUGAGUUAGAAUAACAUUUAUUCUCAUGGCGAGACAUCGAACUUUGUGACGGCGCCAUGGACACGCCCUUUAACGAAAACUCAAGAUCUUCACAAUUUAACAUCGCACAGGCCUUUAGAAUAGAGUGACUGAAAAAAAAACAUUUAUGUCAUAAAAUUUCUCAGGGUAGUUUGUUACAGUGUAAAAUAUGUCACUUCCUGUUGCCAGUAGGUGGCGCUAUGACUAUAACUGAAUAUGGGCAUGUCAAUCUUUUCAGGUCAGGAGUCUUAUCAAACAUGUGAAGUUUGGGGCAGAUUGGACAUUGUAUGUCUGAGUUAUAGCAACUUCCUUUUUCAUGGCGAAACAUCGAAAUUUGUCAGGCCGCCACGGACACGCCCUUUGACGAAAACUCAAGAUCUUCGCAAUUUAACGUCGCAAAGGCCUUAAGAUUAGG
ensembl:lncRNA